GGCAACGAGUCCAUGAUGCUAUGUUUGAUGGAAUUGUUGAGCAGUACCCGAUGAUAGCAUCGGCAUUGAAGGCUCGACAAGCUGCAACAGACUCAGAGGCGUCUAACGAUCAGGAGAAGAAGCGGGACGUCGAGGCUCUGUUGGAAAUCAUGGGGGACCUGUAUCCAGAUUUUGCAUCAGCGCUGAAGGCUAUGCGUGGGACUGCCUUAGAGCGAGGGGAGCCGUCGAGGGAUCAGGGGGAGAUGGCCGAGCUCGACCAACCUACGUCCACAGCUGUGGCAGCAGAUCUCUUGCCACGAGAUGGAGACUAGAUUUAUGAUUGUGCUUUUAUUUUCCCGUAAAACUUGCAUAUUACAAAUUAUUUUUGGGUUUCGAUAUUUUGGGUAUUAGGUAUGUCGGAUCUAGGAAAUUUGGUACCGAUUAGAUUGUUUAGAAUUUUGGAUCGUAUCGGUUUGGUACUCGGAUCAGUUCCAUUUGUUAAAAUUUAAAUCUAUAGAAAAUUACUGACUUAAAGCCUUAGAACAUCAAAGUCGCACUAACUCAAAAACUUAAUCGGCAUCUACGUCUAUAGUAUCUGAAGACUAAUUUGAGUUUUUAAGCGUUUCUCCUGCUCUCUGUAAACGUAGAGGAACUCAGCGGGUGCUCAUAAACUCACCAGGUUAAACACCAGAAAGAAAAAAACAGGUCGAGAAGGUAGCCUUGAUUUACAUCAUUUCCAUUCAACAGUACUGGAAUCAGUUCUCAUCUCUUUAGUUCACCUUAUACUUUCCAGUUUGACAUUAGGAAACUACAGACUCACAAAUCCAAAUGCACAGCUGAAACAUUUAAUCACACUGUCAACUCUCUUAAGAGAUUGUCUACUAAGGAUUCCCAAAAAAUCUUUCUGCAAAAGUUGUGGAGUACCCUGCUACAUAUGUAAGAGGUGAAGGUAUGGUUUCAGUUUCUGUAUCAUAAAUAUAAAAAAAACUUGAUGAAUUGUAUGCAUCCAUCUCUUGCAAACGAGAAGAAUUUUGAGUCAAAAAGCUUUGUCUUCCAAGAUAAUUUGAAAACCAUUUCUCUUCUCUCUCAUCAAACGCAGAGCCAGACCAUUCCGCAUCGACACACCUUUUGCCACAGAACUCGGUUUAGACAAUAGAAUCUUUAACAGACUCAUACCAGGAGCUAUUACCACUGCAAAAUGAAAGAAUCAAGACAACAAUUCAAGUCUCGUCUCGGACAAAAGUUUAUGUUAUUACUAACAGAAUAUAUUUAUACCCAAAUAUAAGUCUUUUGGCUCCCAAAUCCCAAUCUUUCAAGAUGGAGUGGUAAGAGAAAGAGAAAUUAGGAAGAUGGUUGAGUGUAUGAGUUUAGUCCACGUAAACAAUAUUUGUAAAACACACAGAAACAAACCAUUAUUUUUGUCUGACUGUGGUUGUAUGAUUAAGGAGGACGUCGAUGGACUGGUGCCGGGAAAUAAACCGUAAAUGUAGAUCCACCGUACUGCUCUGUUUUCUGUCUCUUUAACACAACCUCGAUAGAUGUUGCCUCUGUUCUGGUCUUCUCCUCCGUUUUCCAAUCUCUUCCUCCACCUUCAGUUUUUGUCGUCGCGGGAACUUGUCUGAAUCUAGCAUGUCCAGUUUUAGAUCUACCGAGAAGAGAUAUAACCUUGACAACGUCAGUGACCGCCGUUAUCUAAGAGGCUGAGCUUUAUAUAGAAGACCUUCCACCGGUUAGAUAUGAAGAGGUUGAGCUGGAAUUAAUGCUACGGAGUGGGGCGAGUGAGAUGAAACAUGUUAAUGGUCGGAUCAAAGAAGUAAAUAAAUGGAAACGGAAGGCGUUACAGAAAGUGAAUCGGCGACUGCUUCAUCGGAAUGAAAAGAGCUCAGACCAAAUAACCUACACUAAGUUUUGUGCUUAGAGAAAAAAAAACAAUUGGGCUAGGACAAAAUAACCUAAUAUAAGCCCAAAUAGAAAUUACUUUGGGAAUAAACUAUACGAAGCUCAUAAUGGUUGCGAAAGGAUUAUUGAGAACAGAAAAAAAAUUGGUUUGUUGGUUUUUUUUAAGUGCCAGGUGUCUAAAAAAGCCCCUAUGUUAAUGAUGAUGUGGAUGGCCUAAGGAGAGAGACAACUCUCCUUUAUUAUUAUAGAUAGAUAGAUACUAUUCCUUCAUUUCGUAAUAUUAAUUUUCGUGUCUAUGAAGGUAAUUAUGUACAAACUGACUAAUUAAUCAAAGUUAUAAAGGGACAUAUAUACAUUCGCCAUUUUUUUUGGACAACACAUAUACAAAAAGUUUUAACACUUUGAGACUCACGAUUCUGGUAUUUGAUUGGGUUUGCCGGUUUGGUUUUAUUCGGUUUGAUAACCAGUGCAAAACCAUUCCUUCACACUCUUUCACAGAAAACACCCAACAUCUUCCCUACAAUAGGUUAACUCCCAAUCUUCUGCUUCUAUUUGAUUUGGGUGCAGCGAAGAUGGAUCGUAUCGGAAGUCUCCCUGACGAGGUUCUUUCUCAUAUACUAUCUUCCCUAACGACAAAGGAAGCUGCUAUAACCUCGAUUCUCUCCAAAAGAUGGCGCAAUCUCUUUACACUCGUCCCUAGCCUCGACAUUGACGACUCUGUGUUUCUUAACCCGGAAGAGGGUAAGCGGGAACGAGAUGGUAUCCUCCAAAGCUUCAUGGAUUUCGUGGAUAAGGUUUUGGCUUCGCAGGGCGAUACUCCCAUCAAGAAAUUCUCCUUGAAAUGCAAAACUGGCAUCGACACAGAUCGUGUGAAUCAAUGGAUAUGUAAUGUCCUCCAACGUGGCGCUACAAGCCUUGAACUUGUCCUCGAUUUUCCUGGAUCAGACGACAAUUGGGAUUCCGAUUAUAUGUAUCUUCUGCCUAGAGAGCUGUUCGUUAGUAGCAAACUGGUGGAGCUGAAAUUAAGAAGCGAGUUUGGUGUUGAUUGGUGGCGUGGAGGUACGGACACUUUCUUACCAAUGCUUAAGACUCUCCGCUUUGAAUCUACGUGGAUUCUGUUGUGUGAUGAUCUCGAGGUGUUUCUCUCUGCUUUCCCUGUUCUCGAGGAGUUCUACAUGGCUGAUAUCGAGUGGCCUCAAUCGGACCAAUCCGCGUCGAGUCAGAGCCUCAGGAAGUUAACUAUCCAUGCCGGCGGUUUCCAAGAUUUUCGAAAUCCGAAGAGGAUUUCGUUUGAUAGUCCGAGUCUCGUUUACCUUGAGUAUUCUGAUUUUGUUGCCGCGGAUUAUCCGAAAGUUAACUUGCCCAAUCUAGCCGAGGCUGUGCUCGACCUUAAGGUGACUCUACAUCAGAUUGACUUAAUACGAGAACCAGAUGAUGAAGAUGAUGUUUCUCUACGUCUUGGAAAUGUGUGGAAGCUCAUAAGUGGCUUAAGAAAUGUUAAUAAACUUUUCAUUUCUGCUGAGACUCUUGAGGUCAGUUGUUAUUUAUCUGAAACAUCAAAUGUUUUUUGAAACAAAUGUUGAGAUGGGGUUUGUCUUUGUUUCAGGUACUCUCUCUAUGCUGUGAGUCGAUGCCGGUGUUCAACAACCUCAAAUCUCUACAUAUUAUUUCUGAUGCGGAUCUGGGAUGGCAAGCGAUGCCGGCUCUCUUAAGGAACUCUCCACAUUUAGAAACUCUAAUCCUUAAGGUAUAUAUAUGCUCAAAACAUUGUACAAAGUCACUUACUGACUUGCUUCCUCUUUCAAGGGUCUCUUACACCAUGUGACUGACAAGUGCGGGGAUGCUUGCGACUGCAUAUCUCGGGAGGACAAAGGUCGUUCACUAUCAUCAUGUCCAGUGAAGAAGUUGCAGAUCAGAGGGUUCAAAGGAACAGUUAGAGAGAAAGGGAUGAUAAGGCAUUUCUUGGAGUCUUUCCCAUGUCUGGAUGAGAUGGAAGUAUAUGCCGACCAGAGUGAUAAUGAUCCUACAAACGUGGAAGUCAAUAGAAUUUAUAAAAUCGUUGCAUACAAGGUUCACGCGGAGGACGUUUCGACGGAGACUGUGCUACAGUCGAAGACUAUGUCCCAAACCCAGAUGGAGGAGAUCUCCUCUCAGGUAUAUAUUGAAUUACAUUAAAAAAGAAACCAUUACGGUUUUGAAUUAACUAAUCAGUCCUUUUCUUGGAUUCUGCAGUUUACACCCCGCAAUAACAGAAAUAAGUACGAUUUUGUUUACAUCUUGCAUGGAUCUCCUCCUCCUCCAACACCUCAGGAUAUGUCUGAGGACUACCUUAAAGAACAGCUUGAUGCUGCUGAGACCAAACUUGCGGAACUUAAUGAGGAAUAUAAGGAGAGGCAACGAGUCCAUGAUGCUAUGUUUGAUGGAAUUGUUGAGCAGUACCCGAUGAUAGCAUCGGCAUUGAAGGCUCGACAAGCUGCAACAGACUCAGAGGCGUCUAACGAUCAGGAGAAGAAGCGGGACGUCGAGGCUCUGUUGGAAAUCAUGGGGGACCUGUAUCCAGAUUUUGCAUCAGCGCUGAAGGCUAUGCGUGGGACUGCCUUAGAGCGAGGGGAGCCGUCGAGGGAUCAGGGGGAGAUGGCCGAGCUCGACCAACCUACGUCCACAGCUGUGGCAGCAGAUCUCUUGCCACGAGAUGGAGACUAGAUUUAUGAUUGUGCUUUUAUUUUCCCGUAAAACUUGCAUAUUACAAAUUAUUUUUGGGUUUCGAUAUUUUGGGUAUUAGGUAUGUCGGAUCUAGGAAAUUUGGUACCGAUUAGAUUGUUUAGAAUUUUGGAUCGUAUCGGUUUGGUACUCGGAUCAGUUCCAUUUGUUAAAAUUUAAAUCUAUAGAAAAUUACUGACUUUAUCCAAAAUUACUAGUUCGGAUUCGGUUUUUUUAUAUCCAAUUUUUUUUUCAAAAAUAACAAAAAUAUCUUCAAAUAAAUGAAAAUAUGUGCUACCUAAAAAUUAAAUAAUAUAUUCAAAUUUAUAACUAUUAUUUUAAAUAUUUGAAUUAUUAUAAAUAUUAACAUAACUAAUAUUUCUAGAUAUAUUCUAUCCGUUUCAUAAUUGAUGAUGUUUUAGAAGAUUUUUGGUGUUUCAAAAUAUAUGAUGUUUUGAUAUUUUUAUGUUAUUUUUAACUCUAUUGAAAACUGUGUAACCAAUUAGAUGUUGUAAUCAUUUUUGUAACUGGUUGGAUGAUUUUUAAAUUAUAUUUUGAAACUACUUUUUAAGAGAAAAGUAAAUUUCUUAAUCUUUGUGCAUUAAAGAAUAACAUCAUGUAUUGUGAAACAGAGGGAGUAUAUGUUUACAUUUCGGAUAUUUUUGGAUAUAUGUAAUUUUCGGGUUCAGUUCAUGCUAGGGUUUGAUUUUUCAGAUAUAGAAAAUUAUGUAUCGUUCGGAUAUUUAUGUCGAAACAGGUUGGUUUGAAUUUCGGAUCCGUUAAGUCUAGAAAUUACUUAUUAAUAUAUUAUGUUUCAUUUAAGUUUAAUUAUUAUACUUUUUACUAUGUCUAAAUUUUAGUUCUCGACGAUGUUGCUCUGCUUGAUCGGAUGGUGGAAAAUGGUCAUCCACCUGACCUUGUCACUUACAGAACAAUUGUAAACAGAUUGUGUAAGAUAUUAUACAGUGCCGCCAUGACGUCAUAGCGAUGCUCAAAAUCUUUUCAGUGAAAUGCACGAGAAAGGAAUCGUUCCGGAUGUAAUCACCUACAGUUGUAUGAUAUAUGGUUUUUGUAUCUCUGGUAGAUGGAGUGAUGGCGAGCGGUUGUUGCGCGAAAUGGUAGAAACAGAUAUCAAUCCCAAUGUUGUAAAACACAUUGAUCAAUGCAUUGGUCAAAGGAGGCAAGUUCAUUGUGCCGACGAACUAUACAGUGAGAUGCUCCACAUGGGUGUAUAUCCUAAUACAGUCACAUAUAAUUCAAUGAUCGAUGGACUAUGCAGACAGAACCGCUUAGAUGAGGCAAAACGUACAUUCGAUUCGAUGGGUAGUAAAGGCUGCUCUCCAAAAGUAGUGACCUUCACUACACUCAUUAAUGGCUAUUGUAAGGCUGGGAAGGUUGACGAUGGGAUGGAGCUUGCCCACGAGAUGUACCAAAGAGGAAUAGUUGCUGAUGAAGUUACUUACAAAACUUUGAUUUAUGGGUUUCGUCAUGUGGGUCAUUGAAGCCCUAGACAUUUUCCAGGAGAUGAUUUCCAGUGGUAUAUGUCCUGAUACCAUUACUAUCCGGAAUAUGCUGAUUGAUUUAUGGAGUAAGGAGGAACUUAAAAUGGCUGUGACAAUGUUUUAGUAUCUCCAGAAGAGUAUGGUAUGUCCUCCUCAACACAUAUUUUUUUCAAUUUCUUUGCUUACCUUUCGUGUGUUUGGAGAAGAAUGUAAACAUAUCCAGGAAAGUUUGCUACCAAAUUUCCAAUUUCAGCUGAAAAAUACAGAAUCCUUAUUAACCCGCUGAUUGGUUGGGUGUGCUUGUUUUGCAGCGUUAAUAAUUACAGGAUGAAUGAAGAACAAAUGUUUUUAUGUCUUUGGCAGCAAAGCUUCAGUGCCAUUUAAUUUUUGUUGGAUCUGUUCCUUACUAAUUUUUUAUCAGAUUACAAAAUAUUGAAAUUUCUUUAAGCCUGGUGAUUUUGAAUUUUAUUUUUAUUUUUUUAUUUUCAUUUUUUAUUUUAUAGUUUUUUGAGUAUUUUUUUAUUUUUCUAAUGGCUUUAUCACCAAAGUAGUAAUGAUUUAUGCAUAUAUAUGUGGAUUGGCGUUUGCUAAUCAAAAUACCAAAAUAGAUAAUACAAUAUAUCAAAUUUUACAAAUGUUACCUGGAGAUGUGCACAUGCCUACAUGUUUAUAUGUGUACAUGAUUACAUUUGUACAUGUGUACUUUUUUUAUGUGUACAUAUAUAUAUUAUUAAAAAAUAAAUAGGCGGAUAGUGUUAAAAUAAUUAUUUGUGGAUUGAUUUAUAUGUGAAUAGUGAAAACGUACUCGUCUAUAUACUCUUUGAGAUACACAUCCACACAAAAAUUAUAAAAUGAUCUGAAAAAUUCAUCAAGAAUUUGAGACUAAUUACAACAUUUCAUUUUGACUAGCUCACUUAUUACUAACUAUUGUUUUCCAGUGAACUUCCGACGGACAAUGCUGUUGGAAAAUUUCCUCGAAAAUUUCUAACAAAAAGCAUUGGUCUGGAUUUCCAUGUGUUCAUAUGUACAUAUUUACAUGUGUGCAUGGUGUACAUGUACAUAUUAUUAAAGAAACGUACAUUUCGUUUGUAAUGUACAAAUGCAACAUGAUUAUACACAUUACAUUUGAGAAGUUUCAAAUCACAUUUGAGAAGUUUAAAAUCAUAACACAAAAUAUCAGAAAACACAAAAGAUGAAAGUGAUGUACAUAACAUAUAGGUGAUUUUAAUGGUUUUCACAAACAUCUAAAUGUACACUUAAUUAAUAAACAUCUACAUGUACAUUUAGAAUGUACACAUGUAUUCGAUUUUUUUAAUAAUUAAUUUAUUAAUGACAUCAUUAUAAUUAUGUCAUCUUCUUCCCGAGUCCCUUAGGGUUACAAAUUUUACAAGAAAUUUGAGGAUUUUUAACUCAUUGGUAGGAACAAAAUGAAAGACAGCUUAAAAACAUUUAACUUGGUCUUAUUGCUCUUGAUUUCAUGUUGAUUUGUUAGCUGCGAUUUGUCGGCGGUAAAAUGAAACAAAAUGAAGAAGGAAAACAUAUGCAUGACAGCACGAUAAACGUUUCUGUGACCGGAGCUUGAGGGUGACGACGAGUGCAGCGGCUCAGGCAAAGAAGCUUACUGUGGUCAGGGUUACCCGCAUUCGAGCUCGUGACUCAAUCAUAUUCGCGACAGAGAGUUUUGAUGAGGGUUGGGAUAGUUUUGACGGUAAUUGAAAUUCAUAAAGGAAAGAGAGAGAGAAUAAAUCUUGACCAUUCAGUAUGUAAUUAAAUCAAUGGUUUAUAGCAAUUCAAGUGACUUUAUUAAUUGAUGCUAGUUUUUCUUUUUCUUUUUUAACGUUGGGAACACAUUACAUCAUCAUAUAAUCACUAGAUCUAUUACAUAUGAUGAUCAACUACCUGCAACAUAUGUGAUAUUGAUGAAUAGCUCCACGAAUAAUGAUUCCACGAUGAAGCUCUUCCCGAAACACUUGAAACCACAGACGGUUUUGCAUGUACGACAUCCUCGAUAGACAGGUUCUCACCGCAACAAGCGACCACAACGAACGGCUCUGUUUACAGUACUCUGGAACCUCCGAAAGCUUUGCAUCCUAUAAUCUACAAGAAAUUGCAUAGUAUGGGAUUCAAACCCCAUACCUAGGUGUAGAAGCCUUUUAACCAAUAGGCUAGGGUGCUUCCACAAUUGAUGCUAGUUUAGUUAGAUAUAUUUUCUAAAAGGAUGUAACUGGAUCAGUUAGGAGACAAGGAAAAAGUUAAGAAAAAGUGUCAUGAGGAGUACAUAGUGCUUUAGAGUGUAAAGAAGUAGAUGUGAUGUGACCUAUUGUGUAAAGGGUAAUUCUCCUAAAUAGACUAUUUUUAAGUUUUGAUCACAAAAAUAUACUACAAUGAGGAAAAUGACCAAAAUGUUUCAUUUAAUAGGUAAAAGGAACCUAAUACUCUAGAUAUAAAAAAAAUUAAAAAAUUAAAAAUAAAAUAAAAUAAAAAUAAAUAAACUUUUUUUAUAGUUUUAGAUUAUAUGUUUUCAAAUUCGAAUUUUUUUAUAAUUUUUGUUACAUAAAUUUUUUUUUCAAAAUUUUUAUUUUAUUUUUUUUUUCAAAUUUUGUUUUUGUAAUUUGAAAAUACUAUUUGAAACUAUUUUUAAAAUUUUUAUUAUAAAAUUUUUAAUAUUUAUUUUUUAUUUUAUAAAAUUUUAAAUCUCAAUCCCAAAUCUCCACCCCUCAGCUCUAAACCUUAAGAGUUAGAUUAGUUAACUUUAAUGAUAUAUAUGUAUAUUUACUUCUUUAAUAAAAUAUUUUGGUUAUUUUGAUAUUUAUGGUCUAUAUUUGUGACAUAAUUUUUUUUAGUGCUAUUUUAGGCUAUUUCCCGAUUGGUUAUAUUCGGUUUGAUAAAAAGUACAAAACCAACCCUAACUAAGUGUUCUUCAUUUCAAUUGAUUCCUUGUCUUAACCAGCGACUCAUCGCGCACUCUUUUAACUCCCAGUCUUCUGAUUCUAAACUUGUAUUCUUGCAAGAGAAGAUGGAUCGUAUCGGAAGUCUACCCGAAGAGGUUCUUUCUCAUAUACUGUCUUUCCUGACGACAAAGGAAGCUGCUAUAACCUCGAUUCUCUCCAAAAGAUGGCGCAAUCUCUUUACACUCGUCCCUAGCCUCGACAUUGACGACUCUGUGUUUCUUAACCCGGAAGAGGGUAAGCGGGAACGAGAUGGUAUCCUCCAAAGCUUCAUGGAUUUCGUGGAUAAGGUUUUGGCUUCGCAGGGCGAUACUCCCAUCAAGAAAUUCUCCUUGAAAUGCAAAACUGGCAUCGACACAGAUCGUGUGAAUCAAUGGAUAUGUAAUGUCCUCCAACGUGGCGCUACAAGCCUUGAACUUGUCCUCGAUUUUCCUGGAUCAGACGACAAUUGGGAUUCCGAUUAUAUGUAUCUUCUGCCUAGAGAGCUGUUCGUUAGUAGCAAACUGGUGGAGCUGAAAUUAAGAAGCGAGUUUGGUGUUGAUUGGUGGCGUGGAGGUACGGACACUUUCUUACCAAUGCUUAAGACUCUCCGCUUUGAAUCUACGUGGAUUCUGUUGUGUGAUGAUCUCGAGGUGUUUCUCUCUGCUUUCCCUGUUCUCGAGGAGUUCUACAUGGCUGAUAUCGAGUGGCCUCAAUCGGACCAAUCCGCGUCGAGUCAGAGCCUCAGGAAGUUAACUAUCCAUGCCGGCGGUUUCCAAGAUUUUCGAAAUCCGAAGAGGAUUUCGUUUGAUAGUCCGAGUCUCGUUUACCUUGAGUAUUCUGAUUUUGUUGCCGCGGAUUAUCCGAAAGUUAACUUGCCCAAUCUAGCCGAGGCUGUGCUCGACCUUAAGGUGACUCUACAUCAGAUUGACUUAAUACGAGAACCAGAUGAUGAAAAUGUUGUUUCUCUACGUCUUCGGAAUGUGUGGAAGCUCAUAAGAGGGUUAAGAAAUGUUAAUAAACUUUUCAUUUCUGCUGAGACUCUUGAGGUCAGUUGUUAUUCAUCUGAAACAUCAAAUGUUUUUUGAAACAAAUGUUAAUGUUGGGACUUAGGAUGGGUUUUUGUCUUGUUUUUCAGGCACUGUCUCUAUGCUGUGAGUCGAUGCCGGGGUUCAACAACCUCAAAUCUCUACAUAUUAUUUGUGAAGCGGAUCUGGGAUGGCAAGCGAUGCCGGCUCUCUUAAGGAACUGUCCACGUUUAGAAACUCUAAUCCUCAAGGUAUACGCCCAAAACAUUGUACAAUGGUACUUAGAGUUCCUUUAUUGACUCGCUUCCUCUUUCAAGGGUCUCUUACACCAUGUGACUGACAAGUGCGGGGAUGCUUGCGACUGCAUAUCUCGGGAGGACAAAGGUCGUUCACUAUCAUCAUGUCCAGUGAAGAAGCUGGAGAUCAGAGGGUUUCAAGGAACAGUUAGAGAGAAAGAGAUGAUAAGGCAUUUCUUGGAGUCUUUCCCUUGUUUGGAUGAGAUGGAAGUAUAUGCCGACCAGAGUGAUAAUGAUCCUACAAACGUUGAAGUAAAUAGAAUUUAUAAAAUCAUUGCAUACAAGGUCCACGGGAAGGAGAUUUCUACUCAUACUGUGCUACAGUCGAAGGGUAUGUCCCAAAGCCAGAUGGAGGAGAUCUCCUCUCAGGUAUAUUUAAUUACAUUAAAGAAAACCAUUACGGUUUUGAGUUAACUAAUCAGUCCUUUUCUUGUUUUCUGCAGUUUACACCCCGCAAUAACAGAAAUAAGUAUGGUAUGGUUUACAUCUUGCAUGGAACUCAUCCUCCACCGCAGGAGAUCUCUCAGUACUACAUUAAGGAGCUGCUUAAUGAGGAAUAUAAGGAGAGGCAACGAGUCCAUGAUGCUAUGUUUGAUGGAAUUGUUGAGCAGUACCCGAUGAUAGCAUCGGCAUUGAAGGCUCGACAAUCUGCUGCAGACUCAGAGGCGUCUAACGAUCAGGAGAAGAAGCGGGACUUCGAGGCUCUGUUGGAAAUCAUGACGGACCUGUAUCCAGAUUUUGCAUCAGCGCUGAAGGCUAUGCGUGGGACUGACUUAGAGCGAGGGGAGCCGUCGAGGGAUCAGGGUGAGAUGGCCGAGCUCGGCCAAACUACGCCCACAGAUAUGGCAGCAGAUCUUUUGCCACGAGAUGGAGA
rnacentral:lncRNA from 1 species